rnacentral:rRNA from 1 species
AGAGUUUGAUCAUGGCUCAGGAUGAACGCUAGCUACAGGCUUAACACAUGCAAGUCGAGGGGAAACGAUAUUGGAAGCUUGCUUUCCGAUAGGCGUCGACCGGCGCACGGGUGAGUAACGCGUAUCCAACCUGCCCACCACUUGGGGAUAACCUUGCGAAAGUAAGACUAAUACCCAAUGACGUCUCUAGAAGACAUCUGAAAGAGAUUAAAGAUUUAUCGGUGAUGGAUGGGGAUGCGUCUGAUUAGCUUGUUGGCGGGGUAACGGCCCACCAAGGCUACGAUCAGUAGGGGUUCUGAGAGGAAGGUCCCCCANAUUGGAACUGAGACACGGUCCAAACUCCUACGGGAGCA